GGAGUCUAGCAUGUGCGCGAGUCAUUGGGACUUGCUAAGCCUAAAGGCGUAAUGAAAGUGAAUGCCGCCUUGCGCGUGCAGAGGGAGGAUGGGCCGCGACACGGCGCGGCCCCGCACUCCCGGGGCGUUUCGUUCUCAUCGCGAGAUGAGGCGCACCCAGAGCGUACACGCUGGGACCCGAAAGAUGGUGAACUAUGCCUGGUCAGGACGAAGUCAGGGGAAACCCUGAUGGAGGUCCGUAGCGAUUCUGACGUGCAAAUCGAUCGUCGGAACUGGGUAUAGGGGCGAAAGACUAAUCGAACCAUCUAGUAGCUGGUUCCCUCCGAAGUUUCCCUCAGGAUAGCUGGCGCUCGCCUUGUGCGAGUCUCAUCCGGUAAAGCGAAUGAUUAGAGGCAUUGGGGUCGAAACGGCCUCAACCUAUUCUCAAACUUUAAAUGGGUGAGAUCUCCGGCUUGCUUGAACAGUGAAGCCGCGAGAUCGGAUCAGAGUGCCAAGUGGGCCACUUUUGGUAAGCAGAACUGGCGCUGUGGGAUGAACCAAACGCAGAGUUAAAGCGCCCUAAUCGACGCUUAUGGGAUACCAUGAAAGGCGUUGGUAACUUAAGACAGCAGGACGGUGGCCAUGGAA
rnacentral:rRNA from 2 species